UUUUGUGAAACGUUAAUGAAUCUUUUGGAAUACUAGACCAGCAUAUGAGAUGAUGUCAUGUGAAAGAAAACCCAUGUAUCAUUGAAACUGAUAUCCGAGGACACUGAGUGACAAAACGAAAUUAAAGGAUUUCCGUUGUAAAUGUGAAUAUUUUUAGAAUUUGGGAUAUAACAAUAGGAUAUUUGACAUAUUAGUAGAAACACGCACUCGCCUUUCAUUCUCGAAGGGGUAGGCAGAGUUGCAACUGAACCAACUUUCCGCCGUGUGUAUCCCAUCCCGCGAUGUGAUUUGCAGCGAGCCUAUCGCCAUAUCAAGCACAAAUUUCGUAGAGUAGAGAAACCCUAUAUCACUUUGCCCGACCGAGAAUCGAACCCAAAAACUUAACACUGCAGUUAAAUCAUACAAUUACACCACCUAGGUCGACCCGUUAUUAAUUAUAAUGGAAUUACUGAAUCCUAAUAGAGAUGGCUCCCGCAGGGGCUAAAGCAAAAACUGACAAUAGUAGGUCACAUUGCGCAAGAGUCUUCUCACUAAACAAGAAUGCACUUUAUUCUAUUGAAUCAUACCACACUUCACUAGAUUUGAUAAAUUGUGUAUCAGUGCCUCUUUGUUACACGGGGACAUGUACGAUGCAGCUGAAAUCAUGUAGAUUUCAUAUUGUAUUUCAUUUAUGCUACUUAAAAAAAACUAAUGUUAUUAUGGUUUUGAUAGUUUUUGCUUAUGGCUAGUCUAGGAUAAGAAUAUAUUAUUAUGUUUAUUAGCCGACAUGUUGUGACAAUGUAACGUAAACUGAGUUUAUGAAUAACCGUAAUCAGUUCUAAAUCUGCUAAUAGUGGCCAAUAAUUUACACACAUAUACCGAUUCAUUUGAAUUUCGGGUGCUAUAAUCCGUCAUAGUUAGCAGUAAAAAUAAAAUUUACGUUCAUCAUGCGCCACUUUACAGGCGGAAUUAGACUACUUUGAUGUGCUGGCGUUUAUUCACGGAAUGCUGCAUAACAAUAUAAAGUUAAUGGUUUUAGGAAUAUUGAGUAGCUAUUCUGUUUAUUUUUAUAACAAUCUAGCCGAUCUCGUGUCUUAUUUGUGAUUGAAUUUUGUUACGAGACUAAUCUUUGCUCUAAUUCUUAUGACGAAUUGGUACUUAAUGCGGCUGGCAUUAUUUUGACCGUAAUUUUUUUAGUACAAAAUUUGGUUUAGCGAGAAGCGGCACAACCGCAAAAUAGUUAGCUAUUUUAUAUUUAAUGAGAACUGAAUAAAAGUAUUUUAAAUAAUAAAUAUUAUUAUAUACGAUUUUAAUAACUCAAUAAAUAGAGACAUUCAAUUUUCAUAAAAAUUCUACAAUGUCGGUUAUGAGCAAUUUAUUCUUUGAUAUUUCCGAGAAACAUAUUCUAUUGUAUUACAUGCCUUGAUGACACAUUUCUUUUGAAACAUGCAUGUUAUUAAUUAUAUAUACUCCUCUGUACUACUACUACGUACUCGCAGUACAUGAUUUAUCACUGUACAUCUGAUUCUAACUCUACUUGUAUGAUAUAAUCUGAAACAAGAAGGAAAAUAGAAAAAUGCUCAAACGUCUCGGUGCAGAUUCCUACGAAAAACUGAAUCAUUUAUGAGACCAUGUAAGUAGAUUUUACUUAAAAGUAAAUGUUUAUUAUGGAAUGACCACGUUUCCAUAUACAUUGUAUUAUGUAUACCUACAUUGUAUUAUGUAAGAAUUUUGUAUUAUAAAUUAUUUUUAUCAUCAUUUUAAGAUAUUAGGAGGCAAGUCUCAUAAAGCAUAGUUAUUACCGUGGUUAAGUAAUUACUUAAAAAAAUGACUUAAAGUCGAAAUGAAAUAUCGCUAGUCUACUGUUGCUUUGAGGUAAUAUACUAAACAGUGCAUUAACCCACAGAUAAACGCAUACGAUAACGUUAAUAGCUAGUGUCAUUCUAUAUUACUACUAUUGUCGAAUUCUUUAGCCACCUAGAUGUAUAUUGAAACUAGAUGUAAUAAAUCUAAUACCUAUUUUGUUAAGUUUUUAACAAACAUAAUUAUCUGGGUUUAACCGAAAAUAAUUACUUUAACGAAGGUUACCUCGUUUUUAUGACAACAAUUUGCCAAGUUUCUUUUAUUGUAAUUAGGAACUCUAUUAUAAUCUAAAGCGAUUGGCGUAUCUUUGAUUAAUAUAAUUUUGUAAAAUAAUGUUAUAGCGCGAGAAAUUGGCUUUAUAGUGAUAUUUUAUAUAAAAAUUAACUAAUCCUUAAAUUUACCAUAUUAUAAGUUGAUAAUAAUUUGUCUAACACAUGCAAUAAUGUGCAUAAAUAUGGUCUAUACCCACAUGUGUCAUGUAAUAAUUAAUAUAAGUAAAACCUAAACAAUAUGAUAUAAUGAAUACUGCACAAUAAAUGAAGUACUUAGCAAUAAAUCACUGUGAUUUAAGUACUAAUGGUAUCUGUGAUGAAUAGAUUUAUUUGUUUGUGAACCAA
rnacentral:lncRNA from 1 species